GCCUGCAUGGUGUAGUGGUUAACGCUACUGGCCUCGGAUUUUUAGACGCGGGUUCGAUUCCGUCUGAAGUCG